rnacentral:misc_RNA from 1 species
GAAAUGCGAUAAGUAAUGUGAAUUGCAGAAUUCAGUGAAUCAUCGAAUCUUUGAACGCAGAUUGCGCCCGCUGGUAUUCCGGCGGGCAUGCCUGUUCGAGCGUCAUUUGAAGCCCCUCGGCGGCCCGGGUUCUCUUUUGUACUCGCGCCGCCGGCGUUGGCGCUCCGCUUGGCCCCCUUGCUUGUGGGCCAGGCGGGCUGCCCAAAUGCAGCGGCGGACCGUUCCGGGCCUCCCAGCGCAGUAGCAAUAGCCUCGCUGCGGAAGGAAGGAACGGCUUCUGGCCCCCAUUCGUCGACGUUUUUUUGUCGUCGACCUUUCCAAGAGCUUGACCUCGGAUCAGGUAGGAUUACCCGCUGAACUUAAGC